rnacentral:lncRNA from 1 species
AGGGGGUUCUCAAGAUACACACAAAUUUUUAUUAGUCUUGGUUUGGUUUUAUUCCAUUCAGAGGUUCUCUAGAAGAAGUUCAAAAUGUAAAAAGUUAAUGCCGACGACGACGGACGGCAAGUGAUGAGUUAAGGUCAUUUGGGCCAGGUGAGUUAAAAACAAGAAACAUGUAUAAAUUACAUAAACAAACAACAACUACUGUACAUUAGAUUCCUCAC